UGUCCUGAAAAGUACAAUGGUGCAAGGGUACCCAAAUUUCUACAAGUGUUCUACAACGAUGCAGUGAGACCCCAAGAAAAGGUUUUCGCUUGGCACUGGAUACACCUGCAUGGGUACAUACCACCCUUGGCCUACCGUGAUCAGGAUCUUAAGUGCUUGGAUAUAUAACUGGAGCAAGACAAGUGGCGGCGGAAGAUGUACAGUCACUCUCAAUAUGACGCAUCACGGGAGCGCGUGGUAUCAUGAGUUCAAAGACUGGCCAUGGCUUCCACUAGCCCUUAUUUCCAUAACUAAAUGCUGUUCUCGCACUCGGGGAUGAUUCCAAAUAAGAAAAUAUCAUUUAGUUGCUGAAAUGAAAACACGUUGAACCCAUGCGCAAUCUUUGAACUCAUGAGGCCACACGCUCCCGUAUUGCAAGUCAUACUGAGUGGAAAAAAGUUUCUGCUAAAAGAUUCUAUAUAAAAGUGGAAAAGUGAUUCUGCUACUCCAUGUAAUCCUGCAGUCUGCUAAGCAGGGCAAGCUCUAGAAGUAUGCCCACAAACAAUGCUGUCGAUAUGGUUGCGGUUUGCCUAGUCUAGGAAUGGCUACAAUUUAUGCCUAUUGAUGCCCAUUUCCACUGGGCAGCAAGUUUGCCAGUUUCCCAGCAUUACAUCAUGAAUGUAGUGAUCACCUGGUUUUUAUGAACUGCUUGAAGUGUCAUGUGAAGACCAAGAAGGGCUCCAACUACAAUAAAAUCAUCUUUUUUUCUAUAAAAACCAGGCAAGUAACAGAAUCAAGCAAUAUUGCUCAUGAAUUUGAGCUACGCACAAUAAUUCUUAUUAGGGUCAUUCCACGCCAAACGUCCCAGGCGACCAUCUCAAAUGUUCUCGAAAAAAAUCGUGCUGAUUUCUUGCAUUCAAAACAGCGAUUCGCUAGAAUAUUUCGGAGAGAAAAAAUUUUUUGGUCACAUGGGAGCCUUCCGAAUUUCGCAGAAGGUCGUCCGAGUGGUGGUUUGUCAGAAAAAUUAUAUUGAGUUAUCGUUGCUUGCUUCAAUACCAAAUUUGUUUUUCUUACUAAGCAAAGGUGUUUGUGUAAGGUGUUCGAAGCUCAAUAAUAUUAGUGCAAUUUUUCUGCCACAAACGCCUCCAGAAAAUUUGCAAAAUGUCCUGUGUUUGCAUUUUUUCCUGUGUAAUAUUGCGCUAUGUAUGAAUAUCUGAAUAAUGAAUACUUACUCUACAAAAAGGUAUAUUUUGCAUUGAAAAUAUUAUUCAGACCACUGCUGCUUUUCAAGUUUGCGAGAAAAAAUCGCAAACUUGAGAAAAUCAUCAUUUUGGUCCACACUGAAAAGCAAUUUACACCAUGUGGUGCUCUAAUUAAAAUUCGUCUUUAUACCUCAAUCGAAAGCAAAGAAAUAGUUCUUAUAUGGCAAGUUUUAUCAUUACAAUUUUUGUUUUAAGGAAGAAAAUAAUUUUUGAAUUUCCCCAUCAACGUCUAUGGGGAACUUUAAUGAGGAAGCUGCCGUAUAACCAAAUGGGAAGAUAGCCGUCAGUGGGGAUCUUAAAAAAUUAUUUUCUUUCUUAAAACAAAAAUUGUAAUGAUAAAACUUGCCGUAUGAGAAGAACUAUUUAUUUGCUUUCGAUUGAGGUAUAAAGUUGAUUUUUAAUUAGGGCACGUGAUGUAAAUUGCGUCUCAAUGUGGACCAAAAUGAUUUUUUCUCGCUAAACUGAAAAACAGCAGUGGUCUCAAAAUAUUUUCAACACAAAAUAAGCUCUCAUUUAAAGUUCGAACAAAGGUGCAAAACACAAGUGAGAAGGGCAUAUAACACAAAAAAAAAGGUACAAGUAAACAGAACAAGCACUUUCUCCCUCCCUCCACAAAGUUAGCAAAAUGCGCGAAAAGCAAACCAGUUUGGCAUAGCAACUUGGGAUUUUCGUUUGACCGCCGUGAAAAGAGUCGUAUGUGCUAGGCUAUGUUCUCUGAAAUUUGAAACAGGGGACUUUUUAUUUAUGCCACCUGGUUUUGCAACAAACCAGCAAAGCUGGCUAUCUCCAAUACGAAUGCAUGGCCUUCGAGAUCGGCAACGUGCAAGAAGCCGUCGCAACAAGAGGGGAUUUUAUAUAAUUUGUACAGGGCUGUGAAUGAACGAAGCAGAAAAAAGGCCAGUGAGCUCAACUUUUUGUUGAUUACAAACGCAAAAAGCCAACACACACGACCAAAGCAAGGACAAAGAAAAAGAGGAAGAAGUGGCGUUCGUCAUUUUUGGUGACUUACGUUCGCAAGUCUAGCAACAAAUAACACAGACGUCGUCGCCGCACUAGACCACGCUAUGUCGACGUCUAUUUGUCCCACGCCCCUCUCCUGCGUGUGCUUGAGGACCGAGCGGCAUUUUUGAUCGUAUUUACGUAAAUCGCGUGCUUUUCUUUAUACAUUCGUGCCAUAUUUAUUGAGGACUAUGCUAUGCAACUGCCAACGUAUUCGAAAUACACUACGCUCGCCUUGUGUGAUCCUGCGCAGCGUCGACGUCGACAGCGUGAGGUACGUGAACAUUGUAUGUACUACAUUUGUGAACGACGCAGUUCAUUAUUAUACCAGUCGUUGCAUCGCUGUUGGGUCACUUCUGCUGUUCGGAUGUUUCAUUAAGGCCGCUUGACAAAGCGAACCGGUUUGUUUCUCACGCGAAAAAAAAAAAAAAAAAGCGGUCACAAUGUGUAAUUUACCGGUAGGGGACAUUCAAUCGAAUCCGGAUUCCCAAACGGCGCAAUUUUUCGAAGCGGGUCAGGAAUAUCUAAGCAGAUCUUAGUGAUAUUGACAAUGAUUUGAAGAAAAUUGUGACGCUGCGUCGCAUUUAGAGGACGGGUGGUUUGCUGUGUAGUUAUGUUUAUGGUUUCGUUUGAAGAAGAAAAAAAAAAAGAGCUAGUAUCGGCGUUGUGUGCGUCUUCCUUCCUUCAGGCUUAGUUUGUUUUGCGCUGUCCACACACGCACAAAGAAAGCUAUCUUGCGCAGUAAACCACUCUUAUGAUAGCGUAAUUAAGUUUUCGAAAGGGCUUGACCUCCACUAGACAUUCUUGUUAAACCAAGCGUCAAAACUGACAUGUUCUUGGGCAUUAAUGCCUAUGCAAUGAAUUAUACUGCUGGGUUCACAGCUUUAUUUUUCUCUGACAACCUACGAAAAUCUCAAGGGCACAUGCCAUUUUAUGAAUGUAAAAACAUUUAAAAGAUGAUGUUACCAAACAUUGUUUACGUCAAGCUCAACUGUGACCUAGUUCAAGUGGUUACCGUUCCCAUUCAUACAUUGUACUUCAGGUUUUACAGCAGACUUAGUUUGUGUCAACAGCAACUAUACUCGACACACUGUACUGGUGCAACAAGGUUCAUCUGAUCCCCAUAUACUAAGCCUUAAAAUCCUGCUACGUCAUAAUAGCUGCUCGUGUGCUAUUAUGCUACUAAUUAUUGGAGUAAAAGUAACCAAUUAAAGGAGUCAUAGCAAAUCUUUGCUCUUUCUUACUUCCAUGGUGCUUUUUCUGACAAGUUGUGCAAAGCGUGGUAGUUUUGCAUCCGUUUCAAGGGAACUUCCUUGCUUCAAAUCUAAACACCAAAGUAUUUCGUGCUGUUAGUGGCUUACCUGUUAUUGUAAAAUUAAUGCUAAUUCCUGUUUGUACUUUUUCAAUGCUUGCCAAUAUCAGUAAAAACGACUGAUCGACUUGAAUGUAGUUCAAGUUGUUGUUUAUGUAUUCUUCUAUCUCUCUCUGCCACCUUUGUGUUUGUAAACUGUCAGAACAUCAUAGUGCCAUAUUUUUCUAACCAGACUGUAUUAAAGGGAUGGACACCCUCUCAGAACUUCAAUUAGACUCAUCAGCUCAAUUAUCUCAUUUAACUCAAUAAGCUCAUUACAUGCGGAUAUACAUUUCUAUUUCUUCACUGAAGUCACUUUUGGUGCCUCACGGGGCAAAGUAGUGAGGCAUAAUAUGAUGGUGAUCAUGUGACCUUUUUACUGGUGCACACAGUUAAUGGUCACUAUAUCAGUGUUGAAAUACAGUACACUUUUUUUUUUAAAUUGUAAUCUUUUCUAAUCUAAAAUGUGCUCAUACACCUUCAUUUGUACUGAGCAGAACAGUGGUGCCGCCUUCAUAUGACAUAUGAUCCAAUGCUUAUGAACGGCAGCAUAUGGCCUCUGCGAUUAGCUCCGGCAAAGGGCUAAUCGAGGAGGCUGCAGCAUGAAAGUUAGCUGAGGGACUAGCAGCCCCAGUAGAGAAGUUGGAGAAGUAGCACGAGCGCCUGGCCCUCGGUGGUGAAGGGAUUUCACGUGACGACGAGCAUUGGAAAAACUGAUUCUACCGGCUUUAUAUAUAUAUAUAUAUAUAUAUAUAUAUAUAUACGAAAUGUUUCAUAAACGUUUCCAACUAACUUAUUUGCCGUUUGAACGAGGUGCAGCGCAUCUGAUUCCAAAUCAUUGCAGUUUCCCACUGACAAAUGCAUGGAAUUAAUUUGGUGGUGUGGCCAUGUUAAGUGUUCUCUUGUUCUGCUCUCUGUUUGUCUGGGAGAUUUAGGUGUAUGUUAAGAACCCCAGGUGGUCGAAAUUUCCGGAGCCCUCCACUACAGCGUCGUCCCUCAUAAUCAUAACAUGGUUUUGCGAUGUCAAACCCCAGCAUAUUUUUUUUAGAUAGUGUUGUGAUGUGACAGUCGCUUGUGCUGCGCCCCCUCUUUGUGCGCAUAUCUGGAAGCAUAUAUACAUUUUGGUGAUGUGAGAAAAAUAAACUAGUUGAUAGUCUGGCGCCCUAUCCUAUCUUCUCUUUUUUCCUUGCUUGUCUCAGUUGCGCCACAAAUAUUUUAUUAAACCCAGCAUAGCAAAUGUUUGUCUGGGACACAUCUUGCGAACAUGACCACGCUGCUGGCACUGGUAGCAUUUUGCCAAGUGGAACCCGCAUGUCCUAGAGUCGUGCCCCGUUUUUCCACGCCUGAAACAUGGUCUGGUCACCCAUUGUGCAUUUAUGUUUCUCAACACGUGUUACACCUUCCUCUAAUUCAGGUGAAGGCCUCAUCAUCUUCAUGUUUUCUUCUACCAUUUCUGACGACGUACUAAGUUAUUUUGCAAGCCGCAAGCUAUCCGGUCCCGCAGCAUCUUAUCCAGUGAACUGCUGAAGUUGCAGGUAUCUGCCAAUUGCCAAAUGGCUACAGGAAUAUCUCUGACUGCCUCCCCUGGCAUCUGGUUGCGUGAGAAAAAUUUGUAGGAUUGGGCUAUUUCAUUCUGGCUGGGCGAAAAGUGCUGCUGCAGUAUGUCAAGUGCUUCUUCGUAUGAUUGCCUGUUCACCUUUGUUGGCGUGCAACGUCCACUCACGACGGCCACGAUGUACAGCAUACACUGUAACCAUCAAUAUCCUCUUCACAGUAGUAAUCGUUUAGUCAAGUCAGGCAUAGAUCACAUUGGCCCAAGCAAUGAGACACUAGUAGCCCAAACCACAGUCGAUCACACCCACUGCAAAUGCAACCGAAGGGGUUAGCUGUAAAGACGUGAUGGAAAUGUGCGGCCCUGUGGUGAAAUGCCAAAGGUACCUGCAAUGCAGCCACAGUUGCUGCUCGCUAAGCUUGUUUGCGUUCUUUUGCCAUUGGAGCUUCCUCACGCACUGCCAUGAGUUCUGCAUCCUUUGCAGCCUUCGCUCUCCUUUUAUUGGGCUGCAUUGCUUAGCUGAAGCAUUUGAGAGUAUGCAACCAUGAUGUGACGAAGGUCAGAGAGCUUAAUCAGCCGGAAUGGACAUGUCCUGAACUAAACCUUAUUGCAAAUGUUUUCUUCUUGUUGCAUCGAAGUGAUCAGCUUGUAAUGUGCAGUCUUGGGUAGUUAGCCGCGGUCCAUAGUUGAAGCUAUAGACCGCAUGAGGUCACUGCUCGCUGCAGCGGCCAUGUUUGCGAAAGGAGUGAGCUGCUGGCUAGGAGAGCCAAAGUAGGGGCUAGUUGAAGUAACAACUGCGACAGUUCGCGCUCGUCCUGUGUAUACCUGCGCAUUCUUUUCAUGCGUCCUUCUUUGUGUUUGAGCAGCGCACUGCAAGUGUCGAGCUGUGACAGUUGUUAGUUUGCACUCGCCUUGUGCGUUUUCUUUUCCAGCGUCCUUUGAGCUUGAGCAGCGCACAGGAAGUUUCUAUCUGCUUGCCGUUCUUCACGUGACAUUACAAUUUCUUGCUAUCGCAUUCAUUGCUUUGCCCUUGAGGUGAAACUGUGAUUUUUUUUCUAUUGUUGUGUUCUGCUUGCACAAUUGUACUCAAGCUUUACAAUUUCUGAGUUUCUCGCACACUGCUGUGUUUGAAGAAACCUACAAUCAGAGUAACUGAACAGACCUGCAAAUUAGAGCAGGUAGCGCAAAAAUACGAAGACACAAACGAGGAACAUACUAUACACGAGAUGAGUGCUAUCUGAAUAUAUGUUCCUCACUUGUGUCUUCGUAUUUUAGGGGCGAAGCUCCUUAAAGGGACACUAAAGGCAAAUAACAAUUUAUGUCAGAGCGAAAGCUCAAUGUAUGACAAGGUCUAAAACGGCAAUAUUAUCAACACCAGUGCCCUACUUACCAAAAAUUUAGCUAAAUGUAUCACAUGAUGAACGACACGAGUGGGACAUUUUCGAAGUGAUCCCGAUGACGUAUGGAAGUCUGCCUACAAUAAAUCACUAGUAAUCAAACUAGCAGCAAUAAAAAAAGAACCUUCCGUGCAUCAAAAGACGUAAUAAAAUGCUGUUUGUUCGUUUCUGUUUGAUUCAUGGAAAAAAGAACCUCUGUGGCGUUGCCAUGGGGAACGGCGCGCGUGGUUCAAAGGUUCCGUUUUCGCCGAACUGCACUUUGCCUGGUGCCCUGCUUCGUUUGGGUGGUAAUUUUGGUAUCGCGUACUGCCGCGUGUGUUUUGCGCGCUCGUGAAAGUCGCUCUGACAGAAAGUUCGACAAAAUGCCGCAUGCAUGUGAUGUUGCCGGAUGCCCGAAUGGUGCACAACGCCAGUGCUGCAGCAUGGAAACUGAUGUGUCUUUUCACUGGGUGCCGCGGAAUGAACCCUUACGCUCGAAGUGGCUCAGUGUCAUGCCGUAGUGCCAGUGUGCUAAACAGUCAAAAACUCUGCGUGUGUGCUGACUGCACUUUCGUACUGAGGAUUACGAGACCAACUGCAACUUGGUCAAGGCUUUCAAUGUGCCCAUCCGAGCAAGUCUUUGCCGCAGUGUCGUCGGCGACUAGUAUCGGCGGCCGCGCAGUAAAGGCGGGCAACGUUGGGCACGGCAGCAGUGACGUAUGAAAGUCUGAUUUCAGGCGGGUGAUUUGAAGUGCGCUAACGUGAUGUGGACCACUAAAACGUGAUUUUAUUUCAAAAUAAGCACUUCUUUGGCAUAAAAGUAGCACUACGAGGUUUCUGGACCACUAUUUCAACAAUCAACGUCGACUUAAUAUUUGCCUUUAGUGUCCCUUAAAGACCUAGCGUUGUCCGCCGUCAGCGUCCAUCAUGGUACACGAAACCAAAACUAAAACUGAAAAAAAAAAAUAA